GCCUGUGGAGGCCCCAGCCCUGGGCCUCAGCUUUUAUCGGCGGGAGGACCGCCCACCCUACUCCUUCUCCGUGACUCACAGCUUCUCCCUCCCAACCCACCCCCACUCAGCGUUGCAGAAAGGGAGGAGAGUGGGAAGGGAGGGAGGCACCCUCCGUCAGCAGGGAGGGUGAACAACAGGGGCCGAGUCUACACGUCACUGCCCAGGGCCUAGAUCCCGCGUCCCCAGAGCUGAGCACCCGACCCCAAAGGUUCUGCCACCCUUACCUCGAUAAUUGCUUUCCAGUUCAGGAAAGGGGUGUUGUGUUUGAAAUCCUGGAGGGAGGAGAAGAGACCUGCUCCUGGGGAAGCCGCCCCAGAUGGAUCCUGCCUAACUGUGAGCACUCUCCUUUUACUGGCUCCCUAGAUGUGCAAGAAUGUCGACUGCCUUCCAGGACCCGGGGAAGUCAGGAACUCGGAGACUGUGACAGGCAGGGGGCCUGUGGCUCCUGGAGAACAAGCCUCUCCCACCACAAGAAGCAGUGGCCACUCAGCUCUUGUCUCUGGGAGCUCGAGGAAAGAGGGGCCCCGCGUUGCCACAUUUUUCAAGAGAAGCCGGAAUUCCAAGUCAUUUUGUAAAAUCUCUCAGUUUUUAAACUUUGGCAACUAGUUCAUAAUGCUUUAAAAAAAAAAAAAAAAAGAAUAGAUCACCGGGCACCUGGGUGGCUCAGUCGGCUAAGCGUCCGACUCUUGAUUUUGGCUCAGGUCAUGAUCU